AGUGAACGCUGGCGGUAGGCCUAACACAUGCAAGUCGAACGGCAGCACAGGAGAGCUUGCUCUCUGGGUGGCGAGUGGCGGACGGGUGAGGAAUACAUCGGAAUCUACUUUUUCGUGAGGGAUAACGUAGGGAAACUUACGCUAAUACCGCAUACGACCUACGGGUGAAAGCAGGGGACCUUCGGGCCUUGCGCGAUUGAAUGAGCCGAGGUCGGAUUAGCUAGUUGGCGGGGUAAAGGCCCACCAAGGCGACGAUCCGUAGCUGGUCUGAGAGGAUGAUCAGCCACACUGGAACUGAGACACGGUCCAGACUCCUACGGGAGGCAGCAGUGGGGAAUAUUGGACAAUGGGCGCAAGCCUGAUCCAGCCAUACCGCGUGGGUGAAGAAGGCCUUCGGGUUGUAAAGCCCUUUUGUUGGGAAAGAAAUCCAGCUGGCUAAUACCCGGUUGGGAUGACGGUACCCAAAGAAUAAGCACCGGCUAACUUCGUGCCAGCCGCCGCGGUAA
rnacentral:rRNA from 1 species